GCUCCUCUAACUUCUGGAACUUCCUCGGUGGGUGACGGCGAAUGAUGGAUUCAGAGGGAUCCACUGGGGCCACUUCGAACGCCACAGGUCGCCCGUCAGCUGGGGAAGACAGAGAGGGAAAGACCAGACUUAUAGAAUUUUUUCGUAGAGGAAGGACGUACCUUUCUGGGUGAGUGAGGGAAGCAGCCCGUGACAGCUGACUAACUCCCAGGUACCUAUUUACUGCUAGGUAACAGGUCCAUUCAGGGUGAAAGAAACUUUCACUCUAAAUAACCUCAGACCCCGGACCAGCCUAUUACCGUCCCACACCCCACACCAUUCCCUCUGCAAAGCUGGGUGAGAGUAGCCCCAAGCAUAUGGCAUUCAAGUUUGGACAGACAAACAAACAGACUUUGAGGCAUUUUUUCAGAUAUGGAUAAGUGGCUUUGGAUAAGAGCAAACGAGUACAUUUACAUUUAUAUUUACAUUAUUUACAUUAUUAUUUGAGUAUUUACAUUUACCUUCACAUUUUACACUGUAAGUUAUUUACAUGCUUUUUUGUAUAUGUAAUUUACCAGAAUUAAAUAUGUAUAGCUACAAUAUAUCAAGCCUUGUGUGAUUAAAAUAAUAAUUUGUCUCUCUGUAAGACAAUAUGUAACCCCAUAUGUAUCCAUAAGGCUUACCGGAAAGGUCUAUAAUGCAAUAACAUAUAUGAAUUUACACAUUCCCUGGAAACGUAUUCUAGCAAUUUGUCAUCCAAAUGACGUCAAUGUAAUCCUAGUAGUAUGUGGUCUGACUCACACACUAUUAUGUUUAAUCCGGGAGUUUGAUAUAUGUUUAAUAAUUUAAUAUGUAGAUAAAACUUUCUGCACACUCACGCACACAAGACUGAGGACUCGACACACAACA